AUUGUUAGCUGUACUGUACAGUGGCUCACUUCUCUGCACAGAACAAAGCACCCGACUGAUCUUGAUGCCGAGAAGCUGCUGCGCUGCACCGUGCUCAAGAGUCUCAGAAGUUUAGGAAAUAUGGAGCUCGCCUCAAGUGAAUGCUUUUGAGUGACGUUGACGCCUCUAGAGAAGCAAGAUUUUCCCGUCCAGAAGUUCCAGCUGAGGAGAGCAGCAACGAUAAAAGAGGAUUUUGUACUCUAGCUGAUCAAGAAAGCCUGCAGCGAGGAAAAUGUGAUUUGGACCGUUGGUUUUCAUUUUAGUGCCGAUCUCACUUUGCCUUGAUGAAACAAAAGAUGGUGUGCCUUGUUUAUCACAGUUUAAAUAAGAGAGAAGGCUGUUUUUGGGUCGCGGUGUGCUGUGUGCGGUGGCACUAUUAAUCAUCAAGUUGGUAGGUGGAGUGUGUGAUUGCACUUCAAUCUUUAUGGGGUCCAUUAGCGCGCCAGAUAGCGGGAUGCAGCGUGACAAAUGACGCCCGGCUCGCUCUUUUGGCCGGCCGGCGAGUGAGUGAUCUCGUCCCCGAUUUUUUUUUCAGCCAGCCAAUGAGUAAUGAACGCAAAAUCAAUCGCCGCCUGCAUCGCGAAUUGAUAACGCCUGCCAUGGGGUCUGAUUCGGUGCAGCCCGGCCGUGGUGGCCAGCAACGAGCACUGAUUGUGAGUAAAAGUAACUCAAAGCGCUCAUCUCCCUGCCGGGGAGUGUUUACUUUCGUACAAAGCAACCCUGCGAUGUGUAACAUGGAACGAA